rnacentral:pre_miRNA from 1 species
GUAAGAAAUCUGGUCGGUUCUCCGCAUACGGCGUAAAACUGAAAAGAUUUUUUGCAG